rnacentral:misc_RNA from 1 species
CCCUGAGGAUCCUCAACAA